AGAGGCUGCAGGACCAACUCGCCAGCCCCAGCCCCCUACCCACCUACACCGCGCCCAGCUCCAACCGCCCACACGCCCCUCCGCAGCCUCUUCCCCACUGCCCACCCCGGGGGCUGCUCCUGAUCUCCCCCAGAAACCCACAGGCGCUCUAACCACCAGCAAAUUUCUAACAGCCCCAGCCUUCCAGGAAAGAAAGAAAGGAAAAAAAAAAAAAAGACCAUGACAUCACGGGCAGGUUUAUUUGGGUUUGUUUGUUUGCUUGUUGGCUCGAUUAAAUACUCGUGGAAGGUGAACGUACCCCACACAGGAGAAGUUUGAUGUUGACAAACUUCUGGUGGCAGCGAGACUGUGUCAGCACAACUUCCGGGAUAAUGAGAGCUGCUUUGCAGGGAGCGCGGCAGCGGCGGCGGGAGGCGGCCGCAGGACGGAACAGCAAAUGCUAUUCAGCCCGAGCAGUUUCAAGCCGCCCGAGCUGGGGAAUUACUGUAGUCGAGCUACGGCUCUUACCACCGGCGCUGGAUCUGGGCGCACGUUAGGGGGGGAAGCUGCAGGCACAGGGCGCCGAGAGGGGAGCUUUCAAGUUACUUUGCUCCAUCCCUGCACCCGGCAGAGGCUUUCAGGCUGCGUGGACUCUCCAAAAUUUAUUCUUGGGAAGACUGACAGCCGGGGUCAAGAAACAGCUGUUGAAGUUAAUGUUUCUUCCUCCCACUUCGUCUGAUGGUUGUGCCCUGCCAAGACAAAGUGAAACCAGAAGGUGUCUUCCCAUCUCUGUUUAAAGAAGUCAUGUGCCAGUCUGCAGAGAAAUGCCUGUAUACACGGAGAGUCUUCAAAUUUAUAUCAAGAGGCUUCCAAUGUCAUGCAUCUAAUUA